AGAUUGAACGCUGGCGGCAUGCCUUACACAUGCAAGUCGAACGGCAGCACGGGAGCAAUCCUGGUGGCGAGUGGCGAACGGGUGAGUAAUAUAUCGGAACGUGCCCAGUCGUGGGGGAUAACGCAGUGAAAGCUGUGCUAAUACCGCAUACGAUCUAUGGAUGAAAGCGGGGGACUCGCAAGAGCCUCGCGCGAUUGGAGCGGCCGAUAUCAGAUUAGCUAGUUGGUGGGGUAAAGCCACCAAGGCGACGAUCUGUAGCUGGUCUGAGAGGACGACCAGCCACACUGGAACUGAGACACGGUCCAGACU
rnacentral:rRNA from 1 species